rnacentral:lncRNA from 1 species
AUCUGAUGGCUGAUGUAGAAUCCUACAUGUUUGGGACUCAGUGAUCGAGAAUCAGGAUUCUCUGAUCACGAGUUUCACACAUUAUGGGUACCGGGGUCAAGAGUCCCACUAGUUGGGAUUUUUCGAUCAGGUUUACAUAUCGAUGAAUUCUGAUGCCUGAUUGUCCAUCGGAUUUGGACUCAGUAUUUAUGAGAGAUUUAAUUAGUGAUUUGAUCACUAAUUAACUCAAUUUGAUUGAGUAAUUAUUUUUGGAUCAAGUCCAAAUGAAUUGGAUUCAGUUGGGUUUGACCCGAUUAGGUUAAGAGUUGACCUAAUCAUCGAGAUGGUUUGGUCCCUGAUUUGAUCAGGG